CCUACGGGCGGCAGCAGUGGGGAAUUUUGGACAAUGGGCGAAAGCCUGAUCCAGCUAUGCCGCGUGAGUGAAGAAGGCCUUCGGGUUGUAAAGCUCUUUCGGUUGGGAAGAUGUUUAUCUGUUUUAGAGAUGGAUAGAUUGACGGUACCGUCAGAAGAAGCACCGGCUAACUACGUGCCAACAGCCGCGGUAAAACGGAGGGUGCGAGCGUUAAUCGGCAUUACUGGGCGGAAAGGGUGCGCAGGCGGCGAGAUAAGUCAGAUGUGAAAUACCCGGGCUUAACCUGGGAACUGCGUUUGAAACUAUGUGGCUAGAGUACAGGAGAGGGGGGUGGAACUCCAGGUGUAGCAGUGAAAUGCGUAGAUAUAUGGAAGAACAUCGAUGGCGAAGGCAGCCCCCUGGGUUGAUACUGACGCUCAUGCACGAAAGCGUGGGGAGCAAACAGGAUUAGAUACCCCAGUAGUC
rnacentral:rRNA from 1 species